GAAGUAAUCAAAUCAUAUCGCAAGCAUAAACAUGUAUUUCGAAUCCCCCCCUAGCCAAGGGGGGGGUUUAGUUCCUCAUACUCGCAAAGCAAAGAUACAUAAAUUUAGAAAUUAAAAUCAAAGGAAAAGAAACACCUAGAAAUUCCAGCGACGCGAACUUGAAUUGCAUGAACUUCCGAGCUUCCUUCUCCUCCUCCUUGGUGCGGCAAAGGGUCUAGGGACAAGUUUAGGACCUUAGGUGUAUGGAUGCAUGGUUAUGGAUGAAUGUAGUAGUGUUUAGGGGAUGGGGAUGGUGCGGCAAGGCUUAAAAACUAGGGAGAAAGGUGUUUGGUGGCUGCGGCAAAGGUGUGGAGAGGGUUGGACGAAUUUCUGGAGUGAAUUGUGAAUUGUGGUGAGUGGUGGUCUGAUUUAGGGGUUAAUAUGAGUAUAUAUAGGCACUUAAAACCCUAGGGUAAUCAGAUAUGGACUUGGAUAACCCAAAUCCACAAGGAAAUAGGUCUAAACAAUCAGAUUUUGCAAAGGAAAAGGGAUAAGGGUGCGGCAGCAAUGAGAUAAGGUGAUAAGGUUUCUAGAAUGCCUUGCAAGGCAAGGAAUUAGGGUAUCUAGAAGCUAGGGUGCGGCACCAAUGUAGGGAUUAAGGAUAGGGCUUCUAGAAAGCCCCAAAACUGAUAGGAAUUGCAUGAAACCCACGGCAAGGAUGGAAACUUUCUAGAAACUUCUCAUUUGUGUCCUACAACACUUAGGAGUCCUUCU
rnacentral:lncRNA from 1 species